GGGUCAGUAGAUUGGUCGUGCCACUGGUAUGCACUGGUCUUACUGGCUCCUCCUUCCUGAUGAACCGUAAUGCCAUUAAUUUGGUGUUGCGGGGAGACUGGACUGUUACUUUGAAAAAAUUAGAGUGUUCAAAGCAGGCAUUUUCGCUUGAAUACAUUAGCAUGGAAUAAUGGAAUAGGA
rnacentral:rRNA from 1 species